rnacentral:rRNA from 1 species
CCUACGGGAGGCAGCAGUGGGGAAUAUUGCACAAUGGGCGAAAGCCUGAUGCAGCAACGCCGCGUGAGCGAUGAAGGCCUUCGGGUCGUAAAGCUCUGUCCUCAAGGAAGAUAAUGACGGUACUUGAGGCGGAAGCCCCGGCUAACUACGUGCCAGCAGCCGCGGUAAUACGUAGGGGGCUAGCGUUAUCCGGAAUUACUGGGCGUAAAGGGUGCGUAGGUGGUUUCUUAAGUCAGAGGUGAAAGGCUACGGCUCAACCGUAGUAAGCCUUUGAAACUGGGGAACUUGAGUGCAGGAGAGGAGAGUGGAAUUCCUAGUGUAGCGGUGAAAUGCUUAGAUAUCGCGCAGAACCCCGAUUGCGAAGGCAGCGUACCGGCUCCACACUGACGCUGAGGCACGAAAGCGUGGGUAUCGAACAGGAUUAGAUACCCUAGUAGUC